rnacentral:rRNA from 1 species
GUGAGUAAUACGUGAGAAUCUGCCCUUUAGUGAAGAAUACCCUCGAGAAAUCGAGGUUAAUGCUGCAUACGUCCCUUCGGGGAGAAAGAUGGCUUAAUUGCUGUCGCUAGAGGAUGAGCUCGCGCGCUAUUAGCUAGUUGGUGGGGUAAAGGCCUACCAAGGCGAUGAUGGCUAGCCGGCCUGAGAGGGUGAACGGCCACACUGGAACUGAGACACGGUCCAGACUCC